rnacentral:rRNA from 1 species
GAUGAACGCUGGCGGCGUGCCUAAUACAUGCAGGUCGAGCGAAUGACGAGGAGCUUGCUCCUCUGAUUUAGCGGCGGACGGGUGAGUAACACGUGGGUAACCUGCCUGUAAGACGGGGAUAACUCCGGGAAACCGGAGCUAAUACCGGAUGAUAACGAGGAGCGCCUGCUUCUUUUUUGAAAGUCGGUUUCGGCUGACGCUUACAGAUGGGCCCGCGGCGCAUUAGCUAGUUGGUGAGGUAACGGCUCACCAAGGCGACGAUGCGUAGCCGACCUGAGAGGUGAUCGGCCACACUGGGACUGAGACACGGCCCAGACUCCUACGGGAGGCAGCAGUAGGGAAUCUUCGGCAAUGGACGAAAGUCUGACCGAGCAACGCCGCGUGAGCGAUGAAGGCCUUCGGGUCGUAAAGCUCUGUUGUCAGAGAAGAACAAGUACCGGAGUAACUGCCGGUACCUUGACGGUACCUGACCAGAAAGCCACGGCUAACUACGUGCCAGCCGCCGCAGUAAGAC